rnacentral:lncRNA from 10 species
UGCUUCUCGAACCUGGAAUGAAUUGAAUUCUGAAAUGAAGAUUUAGAGCAGAAUCAAAGCUGAGUGGGAAUAGUGAAGAUGAGGCAUGGAAAGACUGGGCUGCUCUGACAGCACACUCUGCACUGGCACUGGGGGUGUGCAGAUGGAAGGUCUAGGAACACGGCACUCUGGAUCGCACCAUCCUCUGGGCUCUGCGUUUGACAUUCUCCCCUCAUACUUCCCACUCUGUUGGCUUCAGAGAUCAUGAGGCCAGAGGAAAAAGCAAUGGAGGCGGGUGCUUCCAGCCUGAAAACAGUCGGAAGCUAGGAGCUCCCGUCUGUCAGCCUUCCCUCCUGCUCUCCAUAGCGGUGGAACACAGUCCUACCAGCAAGGGGCCUUCUCUGCCCUUUCUCCUCUCUUCUUUCUCCUCUGCCCCCCAGGGUCUGCUUUGUGGUGUCUCCUCCCUCUCUAUUCUUCUUUAUGUCUGCCUUUGUUAUUCAUUUUAACCAGAAACAAGUAUAUGGUUUAUGGUGGGGGAGCUGGGGCUGAGGAGACUGGAGACACAGUGCAAUUUGCCCCAGAUUUUGAAAACACCCAAAGGAUGGCCUGGCUUUUAGCCCCACUGAAAGAAAACCAGACAGGCUGACCUCUAUUUGCCUGAAAACAAGCCAAGGCUGGGGUUAGGAAAUUAAGAUCUAGAGUCC